GGGAGCGACUUGGCUUCGACAGGAGUAAGUCUGCUUAGAUGGCAUGUCGCUUUGGGCAAAGCGUAAAAAGCCCAAAUAAAAUUAAACGCAAACAACGUUAAAUUCGCUCCUGCUUACGCUAAAGCUGCGUAAGUUCAGUUGAGCCUGAAAUUUAAGUCAUACUAUCUAGCUUAAUUUUCGGUCAUUUUUGAUAGUGUAGCCUUGCGUUUGACGAGCGUCGAGGUGAAAUAAAGUCUUAGCCUUGCUUUUGAGUUUUGGAAGAUGAGCGAAGUAGGGUGAAGUAGUCAUCUUUGCUAAGCAUGUAGAGGUCUUUGUGGGAUUAUUUUUGGACAGGGGUUCGAUUCCCCUCGCUUCCACCA
rnacentral:tmRNA from 1 species